GACGAACGCUGGCGGCGUGCCUAAUACAUGCAAGUAGAACGCACAGUUUAUACCGUAGCUUGCUACACCAUAGACUGUGAGUUGCGAACGGGUGAGUAACGCGUAGGUAACCUGCCUGGUAGCGGGGGAUAACUAUUGGAAACGAUAGCUAAUACCGCAUAAUAUUAAUUAUUGCAUGAUAAUUAAUUGAAAGGUGCAAUUGCACCACUACCAGAUGGACCUGCGUUGUAUUAGCUAGUAGGUGAGGUAACGGCUCACCUAGGCGACGAUACAUAGCCGACCUGAGAGGGUGAUCGGCCACACUGGGACUGAGACACGGCCCAGACUCCUACGGGAGGCAUCAGUAGGGAAUCUUCGGCAAUGGACGAAAGUCUGACCGAGCAACGCCGCGUGAGUGAAGAAGGUUUUCGGAUCGUAAAGCUCUGUUGUAAGAGAAGAACGGGUGUGAGAGUGGAAAGUUCACACUGUGACGGUAUCUUACCAGAAAGGGACGGCUAACUACGUG
rnacentral:rRNA from 1 species